ACCGGUAACCAAGUACGUGAAAGCACAGAGAGCAUCUGAAAUAUAUCAUGUCGUACACCAGCCACCAACCUCCUCAAUGAUUAGACUAAAGAAUGCCGAUUUUAUGCAUUCAUUUUUUGAUAUAGGCCAUGCUACUGAAGGGUAAAGAUUAUAUCUACACUCCAAAAAGGUGUAGCUGGAUAGGGAUUUUUUAAGAAAAAAAUUAAAUUCAGGCAAGGGGCAAGGGUUCAGUUUCGAAGGAUGUGGGUCUUCACUACCUUUCUCGGAAGUCUGGAAUCCAACCUAGCUAGAUAGCGGAUGGGAUGGGUAUAUAACAGAAGACAGGAAAUGCCAAAAUGGACAAGAUCUGUGUCGUGCUUAACUCUGUCUCGCCUGGCUGAUCUGGUUGAUGGAAAAAGUUUUUAGCGAUGGAAUAUAUCCCAACCUAAUUUGCUAAUAUAUAGGUUAGAGCUGACCAGGAAGGAAGCCAAGUUGGGUGAUAGUUGUAAGCCUUCUUUCUAUACAAAAUCGGUAUGCAUUUUGCCAUCCUUGGGGCAUCUCGGCAUGUCCGAUACCUGAA
rnacentral:lncRNA from 1 species